GUAAGGUAAGGGAAGCUAAGGGCGAAAAAGUGUUUCUUGGAAAAGAAGAGAAAAAAAGAAUGCUAGUUGGAGGAGAGAAGAAAAAAAGUUGUGGUAUAGUCCCACAUACGGUAAAAAAGAAAGAAAAUAUUUCGAAAUGAAAAAAGGGAUAAAGGAUGGCAUUUGAAGUAUGGAAAAUGUAAUGGUAAAGAAACGUAAGCUAUGGCAAAGUAAGAAAAAAAAAUAGGUAAUGUAGGAGUGAACAAAUGGUAUGGAGCUAAAAGAGGAUGAAAAAAAGUAAAAGAAAGAAUCAGGAGUAAGAAAGUAGUCUAGUCUAUAUAUACAAUUUUUUUUUUUUACACUAACCAUAACAGGUGAAUAAGGAUGAGGAUGAACAAAGCCCCAUUCUCAACAACAAAAACAAGAAAAAUGUGAAUAAGGAUGAUAGGGCAAUACCUUUAACCCUACACAAUAAUGAACAAAGGCCUCUAUUCCCGCCCUACUGUACGCUGUCUCCGUCAGCGUCUGGCAGCGGUGAGCGAGGCUGGAUUGGGACAGCCCCGACGUGGGUUUUUUUGUUUUCGCGUAGGUAUCCCCUUAUAGCCUCGGGGGAAGGUGGGAGUUGCUGUGCGUGAGUCCGUUCGUGGCCGCCGCUGUAGUAUAUAAGGCUAGGGGAGGGUUUGGCCGACACACCUUGACUGCUUUACCUGCCGACAACACAUCUCCAGUUCGUUCUACAGAUAGAACUAUGGCCAAGCUGACGUGGUGCCUGCUGGUGCUGGCGGCGGCGGCGCUGGUGGCGGGGGAAGCAGACCCUGGCCACCACUACGGCAAGGGCUAUAGGCGGCCUACCUACUACGGCCAGCGGCAACCCUACGGCAGCAGCGGCUCCUUUGGGCACGUUUCCUCCAUCGGCCACGGACCUGUCGGGCAUUUGGGCGGGAAACUUGGUGGUCACUCCACUCUCGGUCACGGCUUCAUCGGAAAGGGUUCUGCGGGUCAUCUCGGCGGCCACUCCACUCUCGGUCACGGAAUUGGAAAAGGUUCUGUCGGUCAUCUCGGAGGCCACUCCACUCUCGGUCACGGAGUUGGAAAAGGUUCUAUCGGUCAUCUCGGCGGGAAACUAGGCGGACACGGCGGCUCCGUUGGGCACCUUGGCGGCCACGGCGUCAAGCCCUACCACCGCUAAACUAGUCGCCCCAUACCUGCCCGCCACACUCUUGCAUGCACCUGCCCGGCACACCAAACGCACUUUUGUCUUUGUACGUGGUUAUAAUACACGUUAUGGAACUCCA